GCUUGCGCUCGGGGCUCAGACCUCGGGAGAGCAGCCUUCUCUGAACCCACCGGUGUUAAGUAAACCUCCCAUCCUCCAAGGUCUCUGAGGGCCAUUUGCUUCUUCCUCCAGGAUCCAGUCCAGGUUGCAUAACACUCGGCUCCCUGAGCAGGUAACCCAACUGCACUAGCCCAGGGUUGCCACUGCUUUGGGGCCACGGCCGUGUGGUGACGCAACGAGCGUCGUAAAGGAGUAGGUGCGUCGGGGCUGAUUUCCGGCAGUCUCCCGUCUGGUCGCCAGCGACCAGACCCGCUGUUCCCACCCGGACUCAAAGGAGGCCUGGCUUCUGAGGACUUGGUCUCCACAUUGGAUUCUGGACACCAUUGGAAACACUGGUUAUUUUACCAAGGCUUUGACUGGAAUGUUAUAUUUGAGAGAGACAUCAUAGACUCAGAUAGGACCAAACAGCUUCAAGGAAUGGACAGCUAUAUGAACAGUUUUAUGAAACAGUGUUCUGAAGCUUGGAGCCGUAAAGCCCCUUGGAAAUGCUGGCCUGAUACCUUGCUUACAGAGCUCCCAGCAGCCUCACCAGGGCUACAGGUUUGUGAUUCAUCAGUCUUACACAAUUCACAGCGCGCACCAUAGCACGUACCCUCCUGAACGGCCCAUCAGCCAGUCACCCCAUCCCUCCCACCCCGACUCCCCAGCAACCCUCAAUUUGUUUUCUGAGAUGAAGGGUAUUAGGGAGGACAUGUAUUGCAUGGGGCACUGGGUGUGGUACACAAUCUUGCA
rnacentral:lncRNA from 1 species